GAAAUGAACUCUUGUUUGACCAGUUAAAAAAGUCACUGAACCCAUUAUAACAGGUUUUAAUAUAGGAAAAAGACAGGUUUUAAUCUAGGAAAAAGGCAAGGGCCAGGGCUACGACUUGGGCUUACGUGGAAAUUGCUGUUGAACAUUGUUCGUCUUCUCGGUAACCCUAAACCCCAAAAACUAACACUCGCCACCUCUAUUCACCCACCAAAUUGAAUCGAGAUCCAUCACAAUUAAUGGAGGGAAAAAUGAAGACAAGGAAAACGAAUUCACCCUAGAAGAAUAUCAAUUAAGUAUGUAUUAUUGUACCAAUGCUCCAUGUGACAUUAAAAAUGGAGGAGGGUCAGCCAAGAGAGUUCUGAUACCAAGACCACGUUCAAGAUCGUGUUGUCAAUCAUCAAGGAAGGUUACAAACUGAGUCUAAGAUGCCAAAUAACAACCUCUGUCAGCGUCCAAGCUCUUAUCUCCAAAUCCGAACCCUGGAAAACUGAUUUUAGGUUCUAUAACUGAUUCUUUUUUCUGGUUCAGUUUAAAAAAAGGCUAAAUAGAAAUUCAUCGUCUUCGGUAAAACCUAGAUAUAUGAUUUUGGGUUUGUUCUUGCGGUGGAAGAUGGAUGUUGACGAUUGUUCUUGGCAUCUUGAAUGUCUUUUCAAAGUGAACAUUUUAGCGAUUGGGAUUUGUGUCUUUGAACAAUUACUGUUUAUGGUCUUCAUCAGUAAAGAACAGAAUAGGUGAAGUUGGAGACAAUAACAAAACACAAAUUUGGCUGACUUUCUUUUUUGCUAACUUCCUACGUGGCUUUGUAUUUAUUGCCACAGAAGCAUUGUAACCGGAUGAUUGCUUCAGAUUUUCAAUAAUGGUUUAAUUGACAUUGUUUUUGUAAGUUUAAUGAGCUAUUGUGCAAAAAAAUAACAAUAGUGACCUUUUAAAACAAACGAGACAAGUUUGUUGGGUUAAUAUGAUAUUUGUCCUUUCCUAUUCUUCAUUUCGGAUCAGGUUCUUGUCAUUCUUUAUUGAGACUAAUAGUACUUAUGGCAACAACUUUUUCUAGCAUAAAAAAAUUCAUUUCAAGCUUCGUUACUUUGGUGAAGUACUCUAAUACUCAAGUAUCUUAGGGGAUUCAGUAUUUCAGCACGCCAAAAUCAAUUUAAGACAGAGUUCAUGUUAUGGAUGAUUCCUUGGCCAUCCAGAUCGAGGGGGUGUUAGAUUUCGGGUAUAUUCAACGGUGGGCUUUUGAGAGCUUUUAUUUGUUAAGAAAAACUCGAAUCAAAAAGAAAAAUUCUCAUUCCGGAGCACAAGCUUAAAGCUUUUUUCUUAAUCAAAAAGCUUUUAAUCCAAAAGCGAAUUAGCUACUUCAAGUAGCUUUUAGCUUUUAGUUAUUUUUUAUAUAAUUUUAGUGUUUUUAAAAAGCUUACAACUACAUUUGUCGAACAUUUUUACACAAAUAAAAACUACAUCUUCCGGCUCCUGGCUAAUUUUGUCAAACAUAGCCUUCAUCUCUUUAGCUUAGGAAAUCCUUAUGAGCUGAUUACUCUUUAUUUGUUGAUGUUAUCUUCAACUCCACCUUGCGUAUUUUUCAUGCGUUUAUCUACUCAAGGUUAAGUUUGUCAUCUACUGAAUCUCUACCAUCUUGGUGAUGUUGCAUUUCCAGGCUGUUUGACAGCUGUAGCUGUUGGCGACUGUUGAAUCAGUUAAUUAGUUGCUAUCAGUUAGUUUAGCUAGCUGUGUGUGUGUGUUAUAUUACACUCCUUGAGGCAUCCUGUCUUUGUAAACUAUGAAAGUAAAUAUCUAUUUCUAUUUUCCAUUUCCAUUCAACUUAAUUAUGUUCCGUUGUUUUUCAAUUACAGCAUGAUUCCUGGUAUAAUUAAGAGUUCUAAAACCUCAUUUUUACAAGGAUUAUUUACACUGCUACAGCCAUAACUUUUUGCCAUCUUAAUUUGAAAUAAUGAAUAUUUUUUUAGCUCAAGUAUAUGUGUAACUUCUACUGUUUUUCCUGUCUAUUCUGGAUGUAAUAUGCGAGCCCUGCAACCAAAAGUUAAGUAGACCAGUUUCAGGGUCAAGAAAAAAAAAAAAAAAAAAAAAAAAAAAAAAAAAAAAAAUCCAGGAGUCUCUAGAAAAGGAGGUAGGAA